GGCCUAUUGACUCUAAUAAUGGUUAUUAAAAGCUGUGUUCUUAAAAAUGUAGGAGUAGAUAAAUAACAAAAUGUUUAGGAUCUACCUUAGUAAUGGUAUGGCAGGCACACGCUUAAGGUGGCUUCCCAUGACCCUUGCUGUAGAGAGUCACACUGCUGUACAUUCUCCUCCCCCUGAGUGUGGACAGGACCUACGACUUGCUUCUAACUAAGAAUUUGGUGAGGGUGAUAGGAUGUCACUCCCAUGAUCAAGCUACCUUAUAUAUGGCCCUGUCUUGUUAGGAGACACUCUAGAAACUUUCUUCCUUGCUGGCUUUGAACAAAGUAGCAAUGUUGAGAGGUCCACAUGGCAAGGAGCUGAGGACCUCCAGCCAAAAGCUAGUAAGAAGGCAAGGCCCCCAGUCUUGCAAGUACAAGGAAAUGAAUUCCCAGAUGAGCCUCUAGAUGAGAACUCAGUACUUGCCAAAACUUUGAUUAUAGCCCUGCAGAGUCCCAG
rnacentral:lncRNA from 1 species